rnacentral:rRNA from 1 species
ACUUGCCCCGAGAUGAGUUCUCCCUGAGACUUUAAGUCUCCUGAAGGAACGUUGAAGACGACGACGUUGAUAGGCCGGGUGUGUAAGCGCAGCGAUGCGUUGAGCUAACCGCUACUAAUGAACCGUGAGGCUUAACCUU